rnacentral:rRNA from 1 species
UACGUAGGGGGCAAGCGUUGUCCGGAUUUAUUGGGCGUAAAGAGCGUGUAGGCGGUUAGAUAGGUCCGUUGUGAAAACUCGAGGCUCAACCUCGAGACGUCGAUGGAAACCAUCUGGCUAGAGUCCGGAAGAGGAGAGUGGAAUUCCUGGUGUAGCGGUGAAAUGCGCAGAUAUCAGGAAGAACACCCGUGGCGAAGGCGGCUCUCUGGGACGGUACUGACGCUGAGACGCGAAAGCGUGGGGAGCGAACAGG